rnacentral:rRNA from 1 species
UACGGAGGAUCCGAGCGUUAUCCGGAAUCAUUGGGUUUAAAGGGUCCGUAGGUGGACGAUUAAGUCAGAGGUGAAAUCCUGCAGCUCAACUGUAGAAUUGCCUUUGAUACUGGUCGUCUUGAAUUAUUGUGAAGUGGUUAGAAUAUGUAGUGUAGCGGUGAAAUGCAUAGAUAUUACAUAGAAUACCAAUUGCGAAGGCAGAUCACUAACAAUAUAUUGACACUGAUGGACGAAAGCUAGGGGAGCAAAAGGG